AGUGAACGCUGGCGGUAGGCCUAACACAUGCAAGUCGAACGGCAGCACAGUAAGAGCUUGCUCUUACGGGUGGCGAGUGGCGGACGGGUGAGGAAUACAUCGGACUCUACUUUUUCGUGGGGGAUAACGUAGGGAAACUUACGCUAAUACCGCAUACGACCUACGGGUGAAAGCAGGGGAUCUUCGGACCUUGCGCGAUUGAAUGAGCAGAUGUCGGAUUAGCUAGUUGGCGGGGUAAAGGCCCACCAAGGCGACGAUCCGUAGCUGGUCUGAGAGGAUGAUCAGCCACACUGGAACUGAGACACGGUCCAGACUCCUACGGGAGGCAGCAGUGGGGAAUAUUGGACAAUGGGCGCAAGCCUGAUCCAGCCAUACCGCGUGGGUGAAGAAGGCCUUCGGGUUGUAAAGCCCUUUUGGUGGGAAAGAAAAGCAGCAGGUUAAUACCCCGCUGUUCUGACGGUACCCAAAGAAUAAGCACCGGCUAACUUCGUG
rnacentral:rRNA from 1 species